AGAUUGAACGCUGGCGGCAUGCUUUACACAUGCAAGUCGAGCGGCAGCGCGGGGCAACCCUGGCGGCGAGCGGCGAACGGGUGAGUAACACAUCGGAACGUAUCCCGUAGAGGGGGAUAACCCGGCGAAAGCCGGGCUAAUACCGCAUAUGCUCUACGGAGGAAAGU
rnacentral:rRNA from 1 species